rnacentral:tRNA from 1 species
GUGAGUACAGCUCAGUAGUAGAGAGCUUGCUUAGCAUGUAUGAGGUCCUGGGUUCCAUCCCCAGUACCCCCA